rnacentral:rRNA from 1 species
AUUGAACGCUGGCGGCAGGCCUAACACAUGCAAGUCGAACGAGUGGCGGACGGGUGAGUAAUGUCUGGGAAACUGCCCGAUGGAGGGGGAUAACUACUGGAAACGGUAGCUAAUACCGCAUACCAUCGGAUGUGCCCUGAUGGGAGUAGCUAGUAGGUGGGGUAAUGGCUCACCUAGGCGACGAUCCCUAGCUGGUCUGAGAGGAUGACCGGCCACACUGGAACUGGGACACGGUCCAGACUCCUACGGGAGGCAGCAGUAGGGAAUAUUGCGCAAUGGGCGCAAGCCUGAUGCAGCCAUGCCGCGUGAAUGAAGAAGGCCUUCGGGUUGUAAAGUACUGUCAGCGGGGAGGCGUUACUCACAGAAGAAGCACCGGCUAACUCCGUGCCAGCAGCCGCGGUAAUAC